CCUGGGGAGUACGGCCGCAAGGUUAAAACUCAAAUGAAUUGACGGGGGCCCGCACAAGCGGUGGAGCAUGUGGUUUAAUUCGAUGCAACGCGAAGAACCUUACCUGGUCUUGACAUCCACAGAACUUUCCAGAGAUGGAUUGGUGCCUUCGGGAACUGUGAGACAGGUGCUGCAUGGCUGUCGUCAGCUCGUGUUGUGAAAUGUUGGGUUAAGUCCCGCAACGAGCGCAACCCUUAUCCUUUGUUGCCAGCGGUUCGGCCGGGAACUCAAAGGAGACUGCCAGUGAUAAACUGGAGGAAGGUGGGGAUGACGUCAAGUCAUCAUGGCCCUUACGACCAGGGCUACACACGUGCUACAAUGGCAUAUACAAAGAGAAGCGACCUCGCGAGAGCAAGCGGACCUCAUAAAGUAUGUCGUAGUCCGGAUUGGAGUCUGCAACUCGACUCCAUGAAGUCGGAAUCGCUAGUAAUCGUAGAUCAGAAUGCUACGGUGAAUACGUUCCCGGGCCUUGUACACACCGCCCGUCACACCAUGGGAGUGGGUUGCAAAAGAAGUAGGUAGCUUAACCUUCGGGAGGGCGCUUACCACUUUGUGAUUCAUGACUGGGGUGAAGUCGUAACAAGGUAACCGUAGGGGAACCUGCGGUUGGAUCACCUCCUUACCUUAAAGAA
rnacentral:rRNA from 1 species